UACGGAGGAUGCAAGCGUUAUCCGGAAUUAUUGGGCGUAAAGCGUCCGUAGGUGGCCAUGCAAGUCUGCUGUCAAAGCAUGGAGCUUAACUCCAUAGAGGCAGUGGAAACUGAAUAGCUAGAGUUCGGUAGGGGUAGCGGGAAUUCCCAGUGUAGCGGUGAAAUGCGUAGAGAUUGGGAAGAACAUCGGUGGCGAAAGCGCGCUACUGGGCCUAAACUGACACUGAGGGACGAAAGCUAGGGGAGCGAAAUGG
rnacentral:rRNA from 1 species